rnacentral:rRNA from 1 species
GACAGAGGAGGCAAGCGUUGUCCGGACUGACUGGGCGUAAAGCGUCCGCAGGUGGUCGUGCAAGUGCGCUGUGAAAGCGGCCCGCUCAACGGGCCGAGGCCAGCGCAGACUGCGCGACUCGAGGUCGGGAGAGGUCGGUGGAAUUGCCGGUGUAGUGGCGAAAUGCGUAGAGAUCGGCAGGAACACCCAAGGGGAAGCCAGCCGACUGGCCCGCACCUGACACUCAGGGACGACAGCGUGGGGAGCGAACCGG